UGGGGAAUAUUGCACAAUGGGCGAAAGCCUGAUGCAGCAACGCCGCGUGAGUGAUGAAGGUCUUCGGAUUGUAAAGCUCUGUCUUUUGGGACGAUAAUGACGGUACCAAAGGAGGAAGCCACGGCUAACUACGUGCAGCAGCCGCGGUAAUACGUAGGUGGCGAGCGUUGUCCGGAUUUACUGGGCGUAAAGGGUGCGUAGGCGGAUGUUUAAGUGAGAUGUGAAAUACCCGGGCUUAACUUGGGUGCUGCAUUUCAAACUGGAUAUCUAGAGUGCAGGAGAGGAGAAUGGAA
rnacentral:rRNA from 1 species